UAGAUAGAGGUUGCGUUUUUCAUGAGUACAUUACCGGAUUGUGGUCAGGCACGUAAGAAGGUAUGGAAAGGGACGAACGCCGAAGGGGCAGAUUUCCUGAUGAUUUGUUGCCUGGGCAUAUAAUUAAUAGUUAUAUGACUGUCAUCGUAAAAGAUGGGGCGCUAUCC
rnacentral:ncRNA from 1 species